ACGAACGCUGGCGGCGUGCCUAAUACCUGCAAGUCGAACGCACUCUCGUUUAGAUUGAAGGAGUUUGCUCCUGAUUGAUAAACAUUUGAGUGAGUGGCGGACGGGUGAGUAACACGUGGGUAACCUGCCCUAAAGUGGGGGAUAACAUUUGGAAACAGAUGCUAAUACCGCAUAAAACCUAACACCGCCUGGUGUAGGGUUGAAAGAUGGUUUCGGCUAUCACUUUAGGAUGGACCCGCGGUGCAUUAGUUAGUUGGUGAGGUAAAGGCUCACCAAGACCGUGAUGCAUAGCCGACCUGAGAGGGUAAUCGGCCACACUGGGACUGAGACACGGCCCAGACUCCUACGGGAGGCAGCAGUAGGGAAUCUUCCACAAAGGACGAAAGUCUGAUGGAGCAACGCCGCGUGAGUGAAGAAGGUUUUCGGAUCGUAAAGCUCUGUUGUUGGAGAAGAAUGUAUCUGAUAGUAACUGAUCAGGUAGUGACGGUAUCCAACCAGAAAGCCACGGCUAACUACGUG
rnacentral:rRNA from 1 species